rnacentral:rRNA from 1 species
GGUUAAGCGACUAAGCGUACACGGUGGAUGCCCUGGCAGUCAGAGGCGAUGAAGGGCGUGCUAAUCUGCGAUAAGCGCCGGUAAGGUGAUAUGAACCGUUAUAACCGGCGAUACCCGAAUGGGGAAACCCAGUGUGAUUCGUCACACUAUCAUUAACUGAAUCCAUAGGUUAAUGAGGCGAACCGGGGGAACUGAAACAUCUAAGUACCCCGAGGAAAAGAAAUCAACCGAGAUUCCCCCAGUAGCGGCGAGCGAACGGGGAGGAGCCCAGAGCCUGAAUCAGCAUGUGUGUUAGUGGAAGCGUCUGGAAAGGUGCGCGAUACAGGGUGACAGCCCCGUACACAAAAGCGCAUGUGCUGUGAGCUCGAUGAGUAGGGCGGGACACGUGGUAUCCUGUCUGAAUAUGGGGGGACCAUCCUCCAAGGCUAAAUACUCCUGACUGACCGAUAGUGAACCAGUACCGUGAGGGAAAGGCGAAAAGAACCCCGGCGAGGGGAGUGAAAAAGAACCUGAAACCGUGUACGUACAAGCAGUGGGAGCACAGGUUUACCUGUGUGACUGCGUACCUUUUGUAUAAUGGGUCAGCGACUUAUAUUCUGUAGCAAGGUUAACCGUAUAGGGGAGCCGGAGGGAAACCGAGUCUUAACCGGGCGUUAAGUUGCAGGGUAUAGACCCGAAACCCGGUGAUCUAGCCAUGGGCAGGUUGAAGGUUGGGUAACACUAACUGGAGGACCGAACCGACUAAUGUUGAAAAAUUAGCGGAUGACCUGUGGCUGGGGGUGAAAGGCCAAUCAAACCGGGAGAUAGCUGGUUCUCCCCGAAAGCUAUUUAGGUAGCGCCUCGUGAAUUCAUCUCCGGGGGUAGAGCACUGUUUCGGCUAGGGGGCCAUCCCGGCUUACCAACCCGAUGCAAACUGCGAAUGCCGGAGAA